AUGCUCACUUUGGCAGCACUCAUACUAAAAUUGGAACGAUAAAAAAGAUUAGCAUGGCCCCUGCGCAAGGAUGAUAUGCAAAUUCCUGAAGCGUUCCAUAUUUUU